rnacentral:rRNA from 1 species
GCACCCCGGGAGGGGAGUGAAAAAGAACCUGAAACCUUGUGUUUACAAGCACUCAAAGCUCGUCAAGGAGCGAUGAGGUACUUUUUGUAGAACGGUCCGGCGAGUUAAGGUAUGCAGCCAUGGUUAAGUACUCAGAGGUACGGAGCCCAAGGGAAACCGAGUGUUAACAGCGCGAACGUUGCAUGCUUUAGACCCGAAACCGGGUGACCUAUCCAUGAGCAGGUUGAAGUGAAGGUGAAACUUCAUGGAGGACCGAACCGACCCUCGUUGAAAAGAUGGCGGAUGACUUGUGGAUAGCGGAGAAAUUCCAAUCGAACUCGGAUAUAGCUGGUUCUCCCCGAAAUAGCUUUAGGGCUAGCCUCAUUUACACUGAAGUGUAAUGUAUUACCGGAGGUAAAGCACUGACCGGCCUAGGGGUCGAAAGAUUACCGAAGCCUAUCAAACUAAGAAUGCCGGAUAAUAUAGAAUGGGAGUCAGACAGUGUGAGAUAAGUCUCAUUGUCAAAAGGGAAACAGCCCAGACCUACAGCUAAGGUCCCUAAUGUAUGUUAAGUGGAAAAGGAUGUGGAAUUGCGAAAACAACCAGGAUGUUGGCUCAGAAGCAGCCACUCAUUAAAAGAGUGCGUAAUAGCUCACUGGUCGAGUGAUUCUGCGCCGAAGAUGUAACGGGGCUAAACAUACAACCGAAGCUUGGGAUAUAUCUUAAAGAUAUGUGGUAGGGGAGCGUUCUGUCAUAGGGAGAAGCGAUAGCGAAAGCGGUCGUGGACGAAACAGAAGUGAGAAUGCCGGAAUGAGUAGCGAGAAUUAUGUGAGAAUCAUAAUGGCCGAAAAUCUUAGGUUUCCGGGGGAAGGCUCGUCCACCCCGGGUAAGCCGGAGCUAAGGUGAGACCGAAAGGUGUAACCGAUGCACAUACGGUAGAAAUUCCGUAGCCAUCGAAAUUGUUAAGUAAGAGGACGCUUGGAGAUAGGAUAACCCCGCAGUUGGUGAUGGGGCGAAAGGGAUCGAAAUAUAGUAGAGAAGUAUCCGAUGCUCCGAGACGAGAAAAGUCUUAUGAAUUGAUUAGAUGACCGUACCGCAAACCGACACAGGUAGAUGAGGAGAGAAUCCUAAGGCCAGCGAGAGAAAGGUUGUUAAGGAACUCGGCAAAAUUACCCCGUAACUUAGGGAUAAGGGGAGCUCUCGAAAGAGAGCCGCAGCGAAUAAGCCCAGGCGACUGUUUAGCAAAAACACAGGUCUCUGCUAAAUCGAAAGAUGAUGUAUAGGGGCUGACGCCUGCCCAGUGCUGGAAGGUUAAGGAGAGAUGUCAGAGCAAUCGAAGCAUUGACCCGAAGCCCCAGUGAACGGCGGCCGUAACUAUAACGGUCCUAAGGUAGCGAAAUUCCUUGUCAGGUAAGUUCUGACCCGCACGAAUGGCGUAACGAUCUGGGCACUGUCUCAACAGCCUGCUCGGUGAAAUUGUAGAACUGGUGAAGAUGCCAGUUACCCGCGAUUAGACGGAAAGACCCCAUGGAGCUUUACUGCAGCUUGAUAUUGGGUUCUGAUGAUAGAUGUACAGGAUAGGUGGGAGACUUAGAAACAGAGGCGUCAGCUUCUGCGGAGUCGCCGUUGGGAUACCACUCUUUUAUUAUUGGAAUUCUAACCUGUUCCCGUGAAUCCGGGAAAGGGACACUGUCAGGCAGGCAGUUUGACUGGGGCGGUCGCCUCCAAAAGAGUAACGGAGGCGUUCAAAGGUUGGCUCAGCAUGGACGGAAACCAUGCAUAGAGUGUAAACGCAGAAGCCAGCCUAACUGCGAGAGAGACAUUUCGAGCAGUAACGAAAGUUGGAGUUAGUGAUCCGGUGGUA